UAGGGAAUAUUGGACAAUGGGGGGAACCCUGAUCCAGCCAUGCCGCGUGGAGGAAGACUGCCCUCUGGGUUGUAAACUCCUUUUAUAUGGGAAGAACCGUCCUCAUUGAUGAGUGACCUGACGGUACCAUAGGAAUAAGCACCGGCUAACUCCGUGCCAGCAGCCUCGGUAAUACGGAGGGUGCAAGCGUUAUCCGGAUUCACUGGGUUUAAAGGGAGCGUAGGCGGAUAUGUAAUUCAUUGGUGAAAUCAACGGGCUCAACCUGUUAAAUGCCAUUGUUACGGUGGAGCUUGAAUAUGAGAGAGGUAGGCGGAAUG
rnacentral:rRNA from 1 species